rnacentral:rRNA from 1 species
GACUCUGGGAUAAGCCCGGGAAACUGGGUCUAAUACCGGAUAUUACCUUUGACCGCAUGGUUGUUGGUGGAAAGAUUUAUCGGUGGGGGAUGGACUCGCGGCCUAUCAGCUUGUUGGUGAGGUAAUGGCUCACCAAGGCGACGACGGGUAGCCGGCCUGAGAGGGUGACCGGCCACACAGGGACUGAGACACGGCCCAGACUCCUACGGGAGGCAGCAGUGGGGAAUAUUGCACAAUGGGCGAAAGCCUGAUGCAGCGACGCCGCGUAAGGGAUGACCGCCUUCGGGUUGUAAACCUCUUUCAGUAGGGAAGAAGCGAAAGUGACGGUACCUGCAGAAGAAGCGCCGGCUAACUACGUGCCAGCAGCCGCGGUAAUACGUAGGCCGCAAGCGUUAUCCGGAUUUAUUGGGCGUAAAGAGCUCGUAGGCGGUUUGUCGCGUCUGCCGUGAAAGUCCGAGGCUCAACCUCGGAUCUGCGGUGGGUACGGGCAGACUAGAGUGAUGUAGGGGAGACUGGAAGUCCUGGUGUAGCGGUGAAAUGCGCAGAUAUCAGGAGGAACACCGAAGGCGAAGGGAGGUCUCUGGGCAUUUACUGACGCUGAGGAGCGAAAGCGUCGGGAGCGAACAGGAUUAGAUACCCUGGUAGUCCAUGCCGUAAACGUUGGGCACUAGGUGGGUCGGACAUUCCACGUUUUCCGCGCCGUAGCUAACGCAUUAAGUGCCCCGCCU